UGAGUGAGAAGCUAUUAUGCGAUCAGUUUCGGCCUGAUUAUUUAUGAACAUUUGUUCCUUAC
rnacentral:tRNA from 1 species